rnacentral:misc_RNA from 1 species
AUAACAAUUAAGUCUUAAUCCCAAGCUAUUUGGGGUUAGGUUUGAAUCAUUUUUCGCUAUUCAACUAUGUUUGAAACCAAUUCCAUUUCAAUAUCCAAAAAUCAUAAAUCUUGUGAUACUUUCUUCCACGUUAUUUUAGGUUUCACUUUUUUCUUUCUCACUCUUACUAUUAACUAAUCACAUUUCUACACUGGGGCAUUUGAUGCUCUAUGUUA